AGUGCGGCAACGCAAACGAAAACUCGGAAACGCCGACGUGGGUCCCGGGAAGAGUUCUCUUUUCUUGGUAAGGGGCGGCGACCCUGGAAUCGGUUCGCCCGGAGAUAGGGACAUGGGCCCCGUAAAGCAGCACGUCUCUUGUGCUGUCCGGUGAGCUCGCGUCGGCCCUUGAAAAUCCGAGGGAGACGGUGUAAUUUUCGUGCGAGGUCGUACCCAUAUCCGCAGCAGGUCUCCAAGGUGAACAGCCUCUGGCCGAUAGAACAAUGUAGGUAAGGGAAGUCGGCAAACUAGAUCCGUAACUUCGGGAAAAGGAUUGGCUCUAGGGGCUGGGUCGGUCGGGCUGAGGUACGAAGCGGGGCGCGGCGCUGUACCGGACUGGGCGAACGACGGCCUCCCUCGCGGGGGGCGAAAUUUCGGCCGGGUUUCGGCCGGGUUUCGGCGUCGGUCUGCCGGCAAAAACGGCUCGUUUCGCCGACGAUUAACGCGAGGUACCUCUAGGAACCGCUUAGGUCCUUACUAUGUGGGAGAGGCGCGUGUAAGAGCGCAAAAGGCGAAAGUCGGCGAUUCGGCUUGGGUCGUUUUGCGAAGGCUCGGCCGCGCCGCCUGACGGUCGAAGGGGGUCGCGCAUCCGACCUCCGGGCGCGGGUCACCCAGAGGGUCCUACCGUGUGACGGGCGUGGGGCUGAGCGGCGCCUGCGCGGUUUAGCUUCGGUCGAAGAUCGGGCCCGAGAAGAAAUUUCGGCGGGGGUGCGACGUCGGUGCCCCGGCAGAAACGGCUGCUUUCCCGAUGAAUUUAACGUGGGGUACCCCUAGGAACGC
rnacentral:ncRNA from 1 species